rnacentral:rRNA from 1 species
AGAUGCUAAUACCGGAUAACAACAGAUGAUGCCUAUCAACUGUUUAAAAGAUGGUUCUGCUAUCACUCUUGGAUGGACCUGCGGUGCAUUAGCUAGUUGGUAGGGUAACGGCCUACCAAGGCGAUGAUGCAUAGCCGAGUUGAGAGACUGAUCGGCCACAUUGGGACUGAGACACGGCCCCAAAACUCCUACGGGGAGGCAGCAGUU